UACGAGGGGGGCGAGCGUUGUUCGGAAUUAUUGGGCGUAAAGGGUGUGUAGGCGGUUGUUUAAGUUUGGUGUGAAAUCUCCCGGCUCAACUGGGAGGGUGCGCCGAAUACUGAAUGACUUCGAGUGCGGGAGAGGAGAGUGGAAUUCCUGGUGUAGCGGUGAAAUGCGUAGAUAUCAGGAGGAACACCGGUGGUGUAGACGGCUCUCUGGACCGUAACUGACGCUGAGACACGAAAGCGUGGGUAGCAAACAGG
rnacentral:rRNA from 1 species